rnacentral:siRNA from 1 species
UGGCUAGUCUCAGGUUCAUA